rnacentral:rRNA from 1 species
GAUGAACGCUGGCGGCGUGCCUAAUACAUGCCAGUCGAGCGAACGGACGAGAAGCUUGCUUCUCUGAUGUUAGCGGCGGACGGGUGAGUAACACGUGGAUAACCUACCUAUAAGACUGGGAUAACUUCGGGAAACCGGAGCUAAUACCGGAUAAUAUUUUGAAUCGCAUGGUUCAAAAGUGAAAGACGGUCUUGCUGUCACUUAUAGAUGGAUCCGCGCUGCAUUAGCUAGUUGGUAAGGUAACGGCUUACCAAGGCAACGAUGCAUAGCCGACCUGAGAGGGUGAUCGGCCACACUGGAACUGAGACACGGUCCAGACUCCUACGGGAGGCAGCAGUAGGGAAUCUUCCGCAAUGGGCGAAAGCCUGACGGAGCAACGCCGCGUGAGUGAUGAAGGUCUUCGGAUCGUAAAACUCUGUUAUUAGGGAAGAACAUAUGUGUAAGUAACUGUGCACAUCUUGACGGUACCUAAUCAGAAAGCCACGGCUAACUACGUG